rnacentral:rRNA from 1 species
UUAAGCGACUAAGCGUACACGGUGGAUGCCCUGGCAGUCAGAGGCGAUGAAGGACGUGCUAAUCUGCGAUAAGCGUCGGUAAGGUGAUAUGAACCGUUAUAACCGGCGAUUUCCGAAUGGGGAAACCCAGUGUGUUUCGACACACUAUCAUUAACUGAAUCCAUAGGUUAAUGAGGCGAACCGGGGGAACUGAAACAUCUAAGUACCCCGAGGAAAAGAAAUCAACCGAGAUUCCCCCAGUAGCGGCGAGCGAACGGGGAGGAGCCCAGAGCCUGAAUCAGUGUGUGUGUUAGUGGAAGCGUCUGGAAAGGCGCGCGAUACAGGGUGACAGCCCCGUACACAAAAAUGCACAUGCUGUGAGCUCGAUGAGUAGGGCGGGACACGUGGUAUCCUGUCUGAAUAUGGGGGGACCAUCCUCCAAGGCUAAAUACUCCUGACUGACCGAUAGUGAACCAGUACCGUGAGGGAAAGGCGAAAAGAACCCCGGCGAGGGGAGUGAAAAAGAACCUGAAACCGUGUACGUACAAGCAGUGGGAGCACGCUUAGGCGUGUGACUGCGUACCUUUUGUAUAAUGGGUCAGCGACUUAUAUUCUGUAGCAAGGUUAACCGAAUAGGGGAGCCGAAGGGAAACCGAGUCUUAACUGGGCGUUAAGUUGCAGGGUAUAGACCCGAAACCCGGUGAUCUAGCCAUGGGCAGGUUGAAGGUUGGGUAACACUAACUGGAGGACCGAACCGACUAAUGUUGAAAAAUUAGCGGAUGACUUGUGGCUGGGGGUGAAAGGCCAAUCAAACCGGGAGAUAGCUGGUUCUCCCCGAAAGCUAUUUAGGUAGCGCCUCGUGAAUUCAUCUCCGGGGGUAGAGCACUGUUUCGGCAAGGGGGUCAUCCCGACUUACCAACCCGAUGCAAACUGCGAAUACCGGAGAAUGUUAUCACGGGAGACACACGGCGGGUGCUAACGUCCGUCGUGAAGAGGGAAACAACCCAGACCGCCAGCUAAGGUCCCAAAGUCAUGGUUAAGUGGGAAACGAUGUGGGAAGGCCCAGACAGCCAGGAUGUUGGCUUAGAAGCAGCCAUCAUUUAAAGAAAGCGUAAUAGCUCACUGGUCGAGUCGGCCUGCGCGGAAGAUGUAACGGGGCUAAACCAUGCACCGAAGCUGCGGCAGCGACGCUUAUGCGUUGUUGGGUAGGGGAGCGUUCUGUAAGCCUGUGAAGGUGUACUGUGAGGUAUGCUGGAGGUAUCAGAA